UUCACACAUUCUGAGAACAGUUUAAGUUUCUAAGUAAGGUUGAUUUCUUUAUAACACACACACACACAUAAUGAAACUAACGUUCAAUACAAUAUUUAAUAUAUUGAUGCUAAUGUUUGUCUUAUUUACAGCAAAAACAGUGGCUAAAAGUACAGGAGAAUUGGCCAACGGUGACCUUUGUUCAUGGAACGAUGGUCGAUGUAGAGAAAAAUGUUCUGCAGAUGAGGAACCAACCGGACAGAAAUGUCCUGGAAAUACGAUGUACUGCUGCGAGAAACGACAGUUGGUCAAUAUGAAGGAGGCCUCAUAUGUUUGAAGAUAUAUUUCACGUUAAUUUGCGGCUGAGCUAUGAAAAAGGCCUUUGAAUAGACAUACCGUCCCCUUCUUUACUGUCGAAUUGUUAUACAAAUUUUAUGUUAAAAAAAUAAAAUUAGUCUAAUCACCAUGAA